ensembl:snoRNA SNORD115 Small nucleolar RNA SNORD115
AGAUCAAUCAUGAGAAUUUAUAUUGCCUUGAACAGAGAUGAUGACAUAAAAAUUGUGCUCAAUAGGAUUAUGUGGAGGCCC